GGGGGGGAAAGGCAGACUUGUAUGACCUUUCCAUUGUAAAAGGGACCUGGAAGGUUCAGGAGAAACCCAAGCUUCUCUGGGAUUUCGCACAGGUUACAUCACUGGGUGGCGCGUGGGCACACCGGCGGGAAACCCGGGGGCCGUCCUCGGAGUGGGACCCCCCUGCCCUGCUCCAGAGCCGCAGCCCACUGGUUCAGAGACACGCCGUGCUGGUUCACUGCUUCAAAUGGGCUUCUCUGCUUCGGCAGCGGGAUAGAUUGCUACAGGUCACAGAGGAUCCGGAGCUUAUCCCGGCGGCUGCGGGCAGAAGUCAGGGAACAACCCAGGAUGGGAUACCAAGCUAUCGCAGUGCACAUUCACACACCAUUUGAAGGCAAAGGUACAGCAGUGCAGAGUGUGAGUGUAACCUGCACUGAGCGUCGUGCAAAGUGGAGUUUGAAGAACGGGAAUUGGGGGAGCAGACGGUGGGCUACGGCACGUGCAGCCCGGGGCCAUCCGGCAGA